UGAUACGGUACUCAAGUCAAGACCCUAACUCCACCACAAAAGCUAGCUCAUGAGUGGAUGUUUAGCCCCAACUUAAGUACCACUCCACAAUCUCUUGUGGAGCCGAUGUGGGAUCGUAUCAUUACCCACCCCUUGAGAAGCCGACGUCCGCGGCGGCUCACACUCCGGACUCUUCUCGGCACCAGGUAGCCCUUUUCUAGGUCGCCCCCUCCGCUAGGCCGGCACCGGAUGAGUGGACGGCUUCACUCUGGAUAGCUUUCACUCCGGACUCUUCUUGGUUCCCUUUGAACCUUAUCAAGCACCGGGUAGCCCUCUUCCAGGUAGCCCUUUCCCACCACACUCCGGCCUCUCAACGAGAGCACCAAAUGAUACGGUACUCAAGCCAAGACC